CUUGGUGUGUAUCUGCAUGUCAGAUCCCUGUUACGGCAGCGAAUGCAUGUCAUACAUACCUUUUCAAUUGUUGGCUCAAGUGCGGUUNUGGCUUGGUCUUGCUCGGUUUCUUGUGUUGCGUACCUCUAUGAAGGUAAUUGGUUGGCCUAAGCGAUCCAUAUUCUAACAUGCACCAAGCCCAUUGUGGUUUUGGUGUGAGUUAGACCGUGAAGCAUGCAUAGUGUUCCCCUUCCUAGGCGCCGUGCUGGUGCUUCGGGUUGUUGGCACAUUAUGGAUUUGCUUGAUCUCUCGGAUACAGAAAAUGGAGUGGGUACGAGGCAUGCCCUUGCUUGCUUCUAUUUGCCCCAAAAUUAAGCGUUCAACGCUUCAUGCGUACGACUGUUGUUCUCGUUUUGGUUGGGGUCCUNUGUGGCUCGAGUCAUGCUUUAACAACGUCGUUGAGGAA
rnacentral:misc_RNA from 1 species